rnacentral:lncRNA from 1 species
GGUGGAAGUUCGUGAACUCGCGUAGCAGUAAAUAAUAAUAAUAAUAAUUAUAAGUAUUAUUAAAAAUUAAUAAAUAAUAAAAGUUACCGAUCAUUCCUAGCGUAAGUAGCAAAAGAUUUAAUGAUUAGUAUCUGAAGUUUUAAGUUCGAAUUCUAGUUGAUUCACAUUUUCAGCUAAAUUUAUUUCUAAAUGAAAUAAACAAAACGAAUAGUAUGCUACUUAUUUUUUUAAAAAUAAAUAAAUAAUGAAAGUUCUAUUCACCACAGAAUAAUUAAAUUUAUUCAAAAAUUUAUACAUUGUACAUUAUAAGCAACAGAUAAAAUAAUUUUAAGACUUAUUCAGUAUAAAGACAUAUUCGGUAUAGAGGUUCAGCUAACGCUAAUAAAACAACGCUUUUCAAUGAGACUAUAAAAUCUGUAUUGUAAUCGACUAGUUACGAUAUGCAAAGUACGAUAUUUUUAUUUUUCUGCAACGUCAAGUCUAAAAUAUAAUAAUCAUAUUAGUAAUACAGUGUCCUCCCAAUUAAUGAAAAUUUUUUUUUAAAAAAAAAUUAUUUAUUCCAUCAUAAUUUUUUUUAAAAAAAAUAUUUUUAUUAUAAUUUUAAAAAAAUAAAAAAUAAAAA